rnacentral:rRNA from 1 species
UACGGGGGGUGCGAGCGUUGUUCGGAUUCACUGGGUAUAAAGGGUGCGCAGGCGGCUUGAUAAGUCAGAGGUGAAAUUCGUCGGCUCAACCGACGGACUGCCCCUGAAACUGUCUCGCUUGAGUCCGGGAGAGGAAGGUGGAAUUCCAGGUGUAGCGGUGAAAUGCGUAAAUAUCUGGAGGAACACCGGUGGCGAAGGCGGCCUUCUGGCCCGGAACUGACGCUCAGGCACGAAAGCUAGGGGAGCGAACGGG